UACAGAGGUCUCAAGCGUUGUUCGGAUUCAUUGGGCGUAAAGGGUGCGUAGGUGGCGCCGUAAGUCGGUUGUGAAAUUUCGGAGCUUAACUCCGAAACUGCAUUCGAUACUGCGGUGCUUGAGGACUGGAGAGGAGACUGGAAUUCAUGGUGUAGCAGUGAAAUGCGUAGAGAUCAUGAGGAAGACCAGUGGCGAAGGCGGGUCUCUGGACAGUUCCUGACACUGAGGCACGAAGGCCAGGGGAGCAAACGGG
rnacentral:rRNA from 1 species